UGGGGAAUCUUGCGCAAUGGGCGAAAGCCUGACGCAGCGACGCCGCGUGAGGGAUGAAGGCUCUCGGGUUGUAAACCUCUUUCAGCGGGGACGAAGCGAAAGUGACGGUACCCGCAGAAGAAGCCCCGGCCAACUACGUGCCAGCAGCCGCGGUAAUACGUAGGGGGCGAGCGUUGUCCGGAUUUAUUGGGCGUAAAGGGCUCGUAGGUGGUUUGGCAAGUCGGACGUAAAAGUCCAGGGCUCAACCCUGGGAUGCGUUCGAUACUGCCAGACUAGAGGCCGGUAGGGGGAUCUGGAAUUCCUGGUGUAGCGGUGAAAUGCGCAGAUAUCAGGAGGAACACCGGUGGCGAAGGCGGGAUCCUGGGCCGGACCUGACGCUGAUGAGCGAAAGCUGGGGGAGCGAACAGG
rnacentral:rRNA from 1 species